rnacentral:rRNA from 1 species
GUAGGGAAUAUUGCACAAUGGAGGAAACUUUGAUGCAGCGACGCCGCGUGAGUGAUGAAGGCCUUCGGGUCGUAAAGCUCUGUCGCAGGGGAAUAACACAAUGAAGGUACCCUGUAAGAAAGGAUCGGCUAACUUCGUGCCAGCAGCCGCGGUAAGACGAGGGAUCCUAGCGUUGUUCGGAAUCAUUGGGCGUAAAGCGGAUGUAGGUGGCUAUGUAAGUCAGAUGUGAAAGCCUGGGGCUCAACCCCAGAAGUGCAUUUGAUACUGCGUAGCUUGAGUGUCGGAGAGGUUACUAGAAUUGUUGGUGUAGUGGUGAAAUACGUAGAUAUCAACAGGAAUACCGGAGGCGAAGGCGGGUAACUGGCCGAACACUGACACUGAGAUCCGAAAGCGUGGGGAUCAAACAGGAUUAGAUACCCGGGUAGUCC